rnacentral:rRNA from 1 species
AACAAACGCUGGCGGCGUGCCUAAUACAUGCAAGUCGAACGGGGAAAGUAGCAAUACGAGUACUAGUGGCGCACGGGUGAGGAAUACAUGGGUAAUCUGCCCUCGAGCUCGGGAUAACCAGUCGAAAGACUGGCUAAUACCGGAUAUGACCACAAGAUCUGAGGAUCAAGGGGUAAAAGGUUUUUCGCUUGAGGAUGAGCCCAUGUGGGAUUAGCUAGUUGGUGUAGGUAACGGCUCACCAAGGCGACGAUCCCUAACUGGUCUUAGAGGAUGAUCAGUCACACUGGAACUGAGACACGGUCCAGACUCCUACGGGAGGCAGCAGUAGGGAAUAUUGCACAAUGGAGGAAACUCUGAUGCAGCGACGCCGCGUGAGUGAUGAAGGCCUUCGGUCGGUAAGACUACUGUCGUAUGGGACUAACGAAAAUAGAAAGGUACCG